AAUCAAGUGCCUUAAGGGUGUUCGGUGGAUGCCUUGGCGCUGAGAGGCGAUGAAGGACGUGCUACGCUGCGAUAAGCCGUGGGGAGCUGCGAAGAAGCUUUGAUCCGCGGAUUUCCGAAUGGGGAAACCCACCUUCGAUAGCCGGAACUCCAAGACCUUUGUCGAAAGACAUCGGUGUGGGUUCGACCAGAUAAUGGAAGAUGCCUAGGCCUUUAGAUUUCGAUCGAAGAGGUUUUGGAUUUCCGGUUAUCAAGAGAAGGUAUGAGACUUCUGAAUACAUAGGAGGUUUCAAGCAAACCCAGGGAACUGAAACAUCUAAGUACCUGGAGGAAAGGACAUCAACAGAGACUCCGUUAGUAGUGGCGAGCGAACGCGGACCAGGCCAGUGAUACAUCAAAGACAAUCGGAACCAGUCAGGAAAGCUGGGCCUCAGAGGGUGAUAGCCCCGUACGAGUAAUGCGAUGAUGUAUCCACGAGUACGGCGG
rnacentral:rRNA from 1 species